UGGCAAUAUCGUAACCAAUGAAGUUCAUCUGAGAUCUGAGGGUAAUUCCUGGACGUCCAGGCAAAGACUACCCUAUCCUGUCUUCUCCCCCCUCCGGAUCAAACUUCUCCUGCCGCUCUGUGGGAUACCAUCGAGGCUACGUGGCUGAUCCUUCCACUGGCUGUCAGGUAUUCUACAUCUGUGUAGGUGAUGGCCCGGGAGAGCCGAUGUUGUGUCCUAAC